GCAUGUACUCCCAGACGCAACAUUUUUUUUCACAAAAAAUACGGUACCGGGUCUCGACACGACAAAAUAUUUUUCGAUUUUUCGGUUUCCCAGAAAAUCAAAAUAUUCGUUUUUCGAUUUUCAAUUUUCCAAUUUUUUGAUCGUUCGAUU
ensembl:ncRNA F36H1.16 ncRNA